rnacentral:rRNA from 1 species
GAUGAACGCUGGCGGCGUGCCUAAUACAUGCAAGUCGAGCGAACAGACGAGGAGCUUGCUACUCUGAUGUUAACGGCGGACGGGUGAGUAACACGUGGAGAACCUACCUAUAAGACUGGGAUAACUUCGGGAAUCCGGAGCUAAUACCGGAUAAUAUAUUGAACCGCAUGGUUCAAUAGUGAAAGACGGUUUUGCUGUCACUUAUAGAUGGAUCCGCGCCGCAUUAGCUAGUUGGUGAGGUAACGGCUUACCAAGGCGACGAUGCGUAGCCGACCGGAGAGGGGUAUCGGGCACAGGGGAGUGGACAGACGGUCCGGGCCCGAACGGGGGGCAGGAGUAGGAAGUGGGGCGGAAGGGGCGAAAGCCGGACGAGGGAACGACGCGUGAGGGAGGAAGGUCGUCGGGUGGAAAACCUCUGUUAUGAGGGAAGAACAAUUGGGUAGGUACCGAGGGACGUGUGAAGGGUCCUUAAGAAGAAGGCCAGGGCUAACAAGUG